UGCUCUGCUGCUCACUGAGUCCCAGUGUCUGAGUCCUUGGUGCUGUGUCUUCUCACCCCCUCGCUCAAGGGGUGUCCGAGAAGGGUAAUCUACAACAUCUGCUGCCUAGACAAGGAGCUCACGGAUCCCGUGCUGGCGUCUCGGGCCCACUUGAAUCAGAGUGUCUUCUUUUUUCCAUCGCCACGGCUGUUUAUUUUUUGGCUCUGAUCUUUGCCUUUUUGUUGCUGGUGGUGCAUCAGUGGAUCCUAUAUUGGUACACUUUUGCUUUCUCUAUCAGCACCCUUCCGGACUCCUCUUCACGCUUGAGACGAGUUUCGUGCUCCUUCUUCGGUGACUUGUUCGGUGGAUCUUGAACUCAUGAGCUCAAGUGAUCCUUUGACUCCAGCCUCCCAGUAGCUGCUAAGACAUGUAUACACCACCCUGCCAUCGCCUUUCUUUUGGGUGCAUGGACUUCCUCCAUGAAUGCUUUGGAAAAUCCAUUACCAUGAUUACUGGUGAUAAAUGACUCCAUCAGUAUCUACAUAGCAUUUCAAAACUGUUUCACAUCAGGAAAAACACCCAAGAGCAGGUGUCUUGUUGGAUUUGAAUACUACGGCUGGACCUGAAGAUGCCGCUUACACCUAAGG
rnacentral:lncRNA from 1 species